rnacentral:rRNA from 1 species
AGAGUUUGAUCCUGGCUCAGGACGAACGCUGGCGGCGCGCUUAACACAUGCAAGUCGAGCGAAAGCCAUUCCUUCGGGAAUGGGGAUAGCGGCGAACGGGUGAGUAACACGUGGGUAAUCCACCCUCGGCACCGGAAUAGCCCGGGGAAACUCGGAUUAAUGCCGGAUAGCCUCACGGGUUUUAUGGCCUGUGAGAAAAGGUAGCUUAGGCCUCUGGCCGAGGACGAGCCUGCGGCGGAUUAGCUAGUUGGCGGGGUAAUGGCCCACCAAGGCGACGAUCCGUAGCUGGUCUGAGAGGACGAUCAGCCACACUGGGACUGAGACACGGCCCAGACUCCUACGGGAGGCAGCAGUGGGGAAUCUUGCGCAAUGGGCGAAAGCCUGACGCAGCGACGCCGCGUGUGGGACGAAGGCCUUCGGGUUGUAAACCACUUUCAGGGGGGACGAAGCCACUCGGGUGAAUAGCCCAGAGGGUGACGGUACCUUCAGAAGAAGCCCCGGCUAACUACGUGCCAGCAGCCGCGGUAAUACGUAGGGGGCAAGCGUUGUCCGGAUUCAUUGGGCGUAAAGCGCGUGUAGGCGGUUAUACAGGUCCGCUGUGAAAACUCGAGGCUCAACCUCGAGACGUCGGCGGAAACCGUAUGGCUAGAGUCCGGAAGAGGAGAGUGGAAUUCCUGGUGUAGCGGUGAAAUGCGCAGAUAUCAGGAAGAACACCCGUGGCGAAGGCGGCUCUCUGGUACGGUACUGACGCUGAGACGCGAAAGCGUGGGGAGCGAACAGGAUUAGAUACCCUGGUAGUCCACGCCGUAAACGAUGGGUGCUAGGUGUGGGGGGUGUCGACUCCCUCCGUGCCGAAGCUAACGCAUUAAGCACCCCGCC